UCAGAGGUGGAGAAAGUCAUAAGAAUCAGGGAGCCUGCCCCAAAUUGCCUCCUAUGAUAACUUUCCACAAAGACUGGAGGGGAGGCUUCAAACAUCUUCCUGCAGUGUCCAGCAAGACAGCGAGGCAGACUCCCUUUCUCCUGCCAAAGCCACGUGGAGCCAGACAGAACCACAAGCAUACCUGUGGUGCUUGGAGGCCCAAGUAGAAACUUGAAUGCUCACGGCUGCAUUGGCAGCUUCUACUUGCCUGCCUGGAUCACCGUUCCUCAUGAGAACUUGGAAAAGCAGGACUAUCAUUCUUGCUUGACAGACGAAGAAACCAAGCCUCAGUUUUGUAGGCUCCUACCAGUGAAAGCCUCCUCACAACUCUCUUCUUCUCCCCAAGGACUGCGUGCAAUUCUACUUGGAGAUCUUCAUAACACCUUAAGGGAAAAAUCCUUUUUGAAAGAAAAACAAGUCUGGGUGGUGCUUGAAAAUUCAGAAGGCAGCUAGAAACUCUGCCAAUUACAACUGGUGAUUGCUGAGUUCUGGAGACAGACUGGGCUUCUGCUUUCUUUUGGUGGAGGUGUCUGCUUGCAGAAAAUUUAUGUUCUGGGAUUUACAACUUCAGGGAGACAAAGGAAACUCCAGCUCAUCUCCCACAUCAUUGAUUGAGAGGACCAUUUUCUGACUGUCUGCACACGUUUCCUAUACUACCCUUUAAUGCAACAAUGGGAUGAAGAGAUGAAGACUUCUAGCAGGCUACCUCAGAAAGGUUGCUGACCAAAGGCUGUAUGGACCAAAAAGUCAUAACACCACCCUGGAUGAAAGGACAUUUACCUAAGGAAUUACCCGCUCUCAAUUCUUCCCAGGGAUGGGCAUUUGAAUUAUUUCCAGUUUUUGGCUAUUAUGAAAAAAACUGCUAUGAACAUUCAUACACAAGUGUGUGUGUGGACCCAUGUUUUCACUGAUCAAGGCCUAAAUACCUACGUGGUGCUUCGUGAACCCUGGAUGCUACAGUCUCUGGCCACAGCACUAAAUGUAUGCUGAGAUCUGGCUUCACGGUCGAGGGUGUUGCUGGUUUUCAAUGUGCCUGACAUAGGAUCAAUGGUGAAUGCACCAGAAGCCUCAUCAGUCAGAAAAUACUCAGUUUGCCCAUUCAGGCCUUCAUCCUUGUCCACAGCUGAAAGCACAAGAACCACUGUUCCCACUUCAGCAUCUUCUCUCACAGAGGACUGGUAAUAAAGUGUGGGAAAAGAAGGACUGUGGUCAUUGGCAUCCAAAACUCUAACUUGCAGGUGUAUUACAGAGCUCCUAGGUGGAUCUCCCAGGUCAGAGCACAGAAUGACAAGGGUAAAAUUGCUGAUUUGCUCCCGGUCCAAAGCACGAGUGGUUGAGAGUUCUCCUGACAUCUCAUUUAUAGUAAAGCACUCAUCAGUAUUUCCAUCUAUUAAAGAAAACAAUUACAAAUUCAUUUGAAUUGAAAAAGUAGCAGCUCUUUGCUAGCACUAUCUAUGGUAUUCAUUUAUACAUUCAUUAAAAAUAUAUUUAUUCCCGA
rnacentral:lncRNA from 1 species